rnacentral:rRNA from 1 species
GACGAACGCUGGCGGCGUGCCUAAUACAUGCAAGUCGAACGGACAGGCCAUGCUCUUGUGGCGUGCUCGAUUGCCGAAGGCGUGAGUAUCACGCGAGUAUCACGCCCUUGUCUUAGGGAUAUAAUUUGGAAAAAGGGGCUAAUAUCGCGUAUGAGAUCUUGAUGCAUGGUGGGGGAAGGAAAGUUUCGGUGGUUGGGGAUGGUUUAGAGGCUUAUCAGCUUGUUGGUCGGGUAGUGGAUUACCAAGGUUACGACGGGUAGCCGGCAUUAGAGGGGGGCCGGCCACAAUAGGACUAAGGUACGCCCCAGACUGCUACGUGACGCAGCAGGGGGGAAUAUUGCGCAAUGAGCCGAAGCCUGAUACAGCAACGCCGCGUGCGGGAUGACGGCCUUCGGGUUGAGAACCGCUGUCUCCUGUGACGAACCGAGAUUGACGGUAAUUAGUAAAAAAGCACCGGCUAACUACGUG